UGUCAUCUCUCACGUUAUAUUCGUUUGUGUUUAAGUUAGAAUUAGAAACAUGAGACUAAAAAGGGAUUAUAAGCGUUAAAAAGUACAUGACGUUAUAUUCCAGAAAACUACAGUACACUGCUCUGUUACAUUCAUGAGAAGAGCAAAAACUCCAUAAAAACUAAUGGGACACUGCUUUUAAGCACAGCAUCACACGUUUAUGACAAGAGCUACAUAUAAUACAAGCUAGCACACACCCAUCGCUCAUCGAUCACUUCACUGGUUAUUACAUUAGAGAUACAUAGGAGCCACGUACAUACAUAUGAGCCAUGCAAGCCGUCAAGGAAAUCUGACACCAGAAUUAGCCCAGCGAAAGUUGAUGACAGAUGAAUAGCUCUCGGUAACGAUUGCAGAACGUCCCUCGGCAAGUUNNNNNNNNNNNNNNNNNNNNUUUUGGAUGUAAUAGAAAGGGAAGUAAAAGACAUGCAGGGAGUGGAAAGAAAUAAUAUUUCAUUUACCUAAUGAUAGAAGAGGGAAAAA
rnacentral:lncRNA from 1 species